GAGUGGCGCACGGGUGAGUAACGCGUGGGAACCUGCCAAGCAGUGGGGAAUAACCUUUGGAAACGAAGGCUAAUACCGCAUACGCCCUUUUGGGGAAAGAUUUAUCGCUGUUUGAUGGUCCCGCGUCCGAUUAGCUAGUUGGUAAGGUAAUGGCCUACCAAGUCUACGAUCUAUAGCUGGUUUGAGAGGAUGAUCAGCAACACUGGGACUGAGACACGGCCCAGACUCC
rnacentral:rRNA from 1 species